rnacentral:rRNA from 1 species
UACGAAGGGGGCUAGCGUUGCUCGGAAUCACUGGGCGUAAAGCGCACGUAGGCGGCUUCUUAAGUCAGGGGUGAAAUCCUGGAGCUCAACUCCAGAACUGCCUUUGAUACUGAGGGGCUUGGAGUCCGGAAGAGGUGAGUGGAACUGCGAGUGUAGAGGUGAAAUUCGUAGAUAUUCGCAAGAACACCAGUGGCGAAGGCGGCUCACUGGUCCGGUACUGACGCUGAGGUGCGAAAGCGUGGGGAGCAAACAGG